AACGAACGCUGGCGGCAGGCUUAACACAUGCAAGUCGAGCGCCCCGCAAGGGGAGCGGCAGACGGGUGAGUAACGCGUGGGAAUCUACCCAUCCCUACGGAAUAGCUCCGGGAAACUGGAAUUAAUACCGUAUACGCCCUACGGGGGAACGAUUUAUCGGGGAUGGAUGAGCCCGCGUUGGAUUAGCUAGUUGGUGGGGUAAAGGCCUACCAAGGCGACGAUCCAUAGCUGGUCUGAGAGGAUGAUCAGCCACAUUGGGACUGAGGCACGGCCCAAACUCCUACGGGAGGCAGCAGUGGGGAAUAUUGGACAAUGGGGGCAACCCUGAUCCAGCCAUGCCGCGUGAGUGAUGAAGGCCUUAGGGUUGUAAAGCUCUUUCACCGGGGAAGAUAACGACGGUACCCGGAGAAGAAGCCCCGGCUAACUUCGUGCCAGCAGCCGCCGUAAUAC
rnacentral:rRNA from 1 species